GCUGGAUGAGACUGGAGGAGAGCGGUGGCCCGGGGCGACGGCGAGAGGAGACGGGAGAACAGAGGGAGGGAUGAAGAGGAACAGAGGUGGACGGGGAGCAGAGGUGUGGUUGGGACACAGAGUUCUUACUGAACACCAGACCGACAGCAACGGGACUUGGAAACGCUCCGCACGCCUCAGCGUCGGCCAUUUUGGUGCCUGCUUGCAGGACUCGCUGGACUUCCGUGACUUCUCCCAGUUCCUCGGUGGAGCGGCAUCGCAGCAACUGCAGAAUGCAGAGCUGCUCCUCGCUGCCUCUGGAGCUUCCCAGCACUCGCAUAGCAACAAUGACAGGAUGCUGCUGGGAAGGGUUAAGGCCUUUGCAUCUGUUCAACUUAGGAAUGAGCUCGGAAGAGAAAGUGGCGCUGACAGCUCCGCAUCACUGUAUUCAGGUCACGGCAUCGGGCUGUUACACAGACUCGUCAGACUGUCGCAGUGCUGGAAGAGACUCAUGUUUACCAAACGGACAUUCAGUUUGUGAAUCCUCACUUCGCAGCAGCUGUGAACUGUGAUUAUGAGCUCCUGAGUCACGUCGCUGAAGGAUGGACGGCGAAGCCACCGGACGAAUCCUCGCCAUAAAUUUGAGUUCACAACCUGUCGGCUCCAAAGGUCACUGCUUUCGGCGCCUCGGAGGCCGACGCGUGAGGAAGCCUCGCUUCUCCAAAGCUGUCUGACGUUAUUAGAUCUGUGCUGCCUGGCUCUGAGUCACCUCUGACGCACCAAGAGAGGGUUUGAACCCCACAGCUCCACAUUAGGCUCGCUGUUGAUACUUUAUUUAUUAAUUUAUUUGAUUGUAUAAACACAUAUUUGUGCACAACAAAAAAAUUUAAGUAAAUUCACUCUUUGCUUUUCUUAGAAGUGAAUGUAAUGAUAUUAAUGCCAGUAAUUUAGACAGCUUUUUUUAUUGGACUAAACAAUAAAACCACUCAUAAAUCCA
rnacentral:lncRNA from 1 species